GGCCUCACCAAGGAAAAGAGGAAAGAAAGAAAGAACAAAACCCUAGUUAGAAAAUUCAAGAGAAAAUUGGUGGAUUUCAAGGAAUUAAGCAAGUAAAGGUAAAAUUUCUUGAUUUUAGCUUGUGAUCUACCUUUCCUAUGCAUUCUUUUUCAUUUUCCAUGGCUGAGAAUCAAGUUUGCACGAGGAUACCUUUGCUGGACGGACAUG
rnacentral:lncRNA from 1 species